rnacentral:rRNA from 1 species
UACGGAGGGAGCUAGCGUUGUUCGGAAUUACUGGGCGUAAAGCGCACGUAGGCGGCUUUUUAAGUCAGGGGUGAGAUCCCGGGGCUCAACCCCGGAACUGCCUUUGAAACUGGGAAGCUAGAAUCUUGGAGAGGCGAGUGGAAUUCCGAGUGUAGAGGUGAAAUUCGUAGAUAUUCGGAAGAACACCAGUGGCGAAGGCGACUCGCUGGACAAGUAUUGACGCUGAGGUGCGAAAGCGUGGGGAGCAAACAGG